GCAAAACGCGAAGAACCUUACCUGGUCUUGACAUCCACAGAACUUGGCAGAGAUGCCUUGGUGCCUUCGGGAACUGUGAGACAGGUGCUGCAUGGCUGUCGUCAGCUCGUGUUGUGAAAUGUUGGGUUAAGUCCCGCAACGAGCGCAACCCUUAUCCUUUGUUGCCAGCGGUCCGGCCGGGAACUCAAAGGAGACUGCCAGUGAUAAACUGGAGGAAGGUGGGGAUGACGUCAAGUCAUCAUGGCCCUUACGACCAGGGCUACACACGUGCUACAAUGGCAUAUACAAAGAGAAGCGACCUCGCGAGAGCAAGCGGACCUCAUAAAGUAUGUCGUAGUCCGGAUUGGAGUCUGCAACUCGACUCCAUGAAGUCGGAAUCGCUAGUAAUCGUGGAUCAGAAUGCCACGGUGAAUACGUUCCCGGGUCUUGUACACACCG
rnacentral:rRNA from 1 species